rnacentral:rRNA from 1 species
CAAGUCGAACGAAUCCCAUCUGGGUAACUGGGUGGGGGAAGUGGCGAAAGGGGCAGUAAGGCAUGGGUAACCCACCCCGGGGACGGGCAUAGCCUCUCUAACGAGAGGGUAAUUCCCGGCGAUCCAUCUGAACGGCAUCGUUUGGGUGGGAAAUGAGUUUCGCCUCGGGAGGGGCCCAUGUGGUAUUAGCUAGUUGGUGAGGUAACGGCCCACCAAGGCCAAGAUGCCUAGCGGGUGUGAGAGCACGACCCGCGCCACUGGCACUGAGACACUGGCCAGACUCCUACGGGAGGCUGCAGUCGAGGAUCUUCGGCAAUGGGCGCAAGCCUGACCGAGCGACGCCGCGUGCGCGAUGAAGGCCUUCGGGUUGUAAAGCGCUGUCGAGGGGAAGAAAGGCCCGCAAGGGUUUGAUCGACCCCUGGAGGAAGCACGGGCUAAGUUCGUGCCAGCAGCCGCGGUAAGACGAACCGUGCGAACGUUGUUCGGAAUCACUGGGCUUAAAGGGCGCGUAGGCGGGCCAUCAAGUCAGGGGUGAAAUCCUCCCGCUCAACGGGAGAACAGCUUUUGAUACUGGUGGCCUCGAGGGGGGUAGGGGCAUGUGGAACUUCCGGUGGAGCGGUGAAAUGCGUAGAUAUCGGAAGGAACGCCGGUGGCGAAAGCGACGUGCUGGACCCUUUCUGACGCUGAGGCGCGAAAGCCAGGGGAGCAAACGGGAUUAGAUACCCCGGUAGUCCUGGCCCUAAACGAUGGGCACUAGGUUGUGGGCUGACAUGGGCUCACAGCCNAAGCAAAAGUGUUAAGUGCCCCGCCUGGGGAGUAUGGUCGCAAGGCUGAAACUCAAAGGAAUUGACGGGGGCUCACACAAGCGGUGGAGCAUGUGGCUUAAUUCGAGGCUACCCGA